GUGACCAAUCAGCUUCGGAGAACCCUAAUUCUAUCGUUCUUCUGCCCCUGCGCACUUGCGCGCCGCCAUCUUCCCCAAAUGUCUCCGCCGCCGCGCGCUCUCCCCAGAUCUCCCAAAGUCUUGCGCGCUCGACCGCCUCGCGUUUGCUGCUUCUCUCCCAGAUCUCAUCCAGAGCCGCGCGUCGCUGCCCGCCCAGUGCUCCUUUCCCAAAUCCAUCCCACCUCACCUCCGCUCGCCACUCACCAGAGCUGGAGACCCGGCAGCAACCGCCGGCCACCGUUUCGUGGAGCCGCGCCGCUGCCCGCCCACUACUCCUCUCCCAAAUCCACGCCUCCUCGCGUCCGCCUGCCAUUCACCGGAGCGGGAGACCGGGCAGCCCCGCCGGCCGCCGCGUCCAGGAGCCGCCGCAUCGACCCACGGGAGAGCAGGAGGCGCGCCGCCCACUGCUCGAGCUGCAAGAAAUGCGGGACCCGCAGGAGGCUGCGGGCGGCGAUAGCGCGUGAGGGACCGUGGGAGCCGGCGCGUGCCUUGUGCUCGCAUCCGUGCGGGGGACCUCCCAGGAGGCGGAUGCUGCACAGUAUGGACUAUGGAGCACAUCCAUUCGUGCGGGCGCAGAGCGCAUCGGUGGCGGCGGCCGCGAAGCCGCAUGGGCCGCAUCGAUCCCCUUGCCUUCCCGACUGCCCGAGCCCCUCGUCACGCUCCAUCUUUCAAUCUCCAUCAAGCACCAUAACCUGACUGAAGAAAUGACAGUACUUCCCAUGGCAAGCAAUCGAGCUGAAAGCCACUGUGGAGGUCUAGACUUUCCAUCUUGAAUGUUCCGCAACUCCUCAUGCUGCACACAGCAUAGCAUGUUAGGAAUUCAGGUGUGAGCAUGGAUGCCUGAUCGCAGAGGGAGGGCAUGCUUCUUUUGUCUACCAGUUCCAGCACAUUGAAUUGUGUUUCUUCUGAACUUCCUAGAGAUAAAACUAGGAUCUCCAAGAGGAUGCUUUAUAAGGUGUCUCCAAGAGGAUGCUUUAUAAGGAGUCAAGUGCUUAGCUGUGUUCCUGGUAUGUAGCUUUUUAGGUUGUGUUUAUAGGCUAGGCCUUCUCUGUAGUUGUCUUUUGGCGUUCCUGAGCGCCUUUUGGUGUUUACUGUGAUGGAAAAUUUGGCUGUAUAUGCUUCUUGUAAUUGCUGGCUUAUAUGGACCCUUUGUCUGUAGUUCUGGGGAAAGAUUGGACAAGUAAAUGUAUGGGUGAUCAAUGUCAAUGUUUGUAUGCUCAUAUUGAAUCUGUUGGCUUCAAAUGAAAAACCAUCAGUCAAGUGUGUUUGUUAUGUAUUGUUUCAAAAAAUUGGUGCUGUAUGAUCAAUGAGAGAUUAAUUAUAUUA